rnacentral:rRNA from 1 species
UGGGGAAUUUUUCACAAUGGGCGCAAGCCUGAUGCAGCCAUGCCGCGUGUAUGAAGAAGGCCUUCGGGUUGUAAAGUACUUUCAGUCGGGAGGAAGGUGGUAAGUUUAAUAACCUUAUCAAUUGACGUUACCGACAGAAGAAGCACCGGCUAACUCCGUGCCAGCAGCCGCGGUAAUACGGAGGGUGCAAGCGUUAAUCGGAAUUACUGGGCGUAAAGCGCACGCAGGCGGUUUGUUAAGUCAGAUGUGAAAUCCCCGGGCUCAACCUGGGAACUGCAUCUGAUACUGGCAAGCUUGAGUCUAGUAGAGGGGGGUAGAAUUCCAGGUGUAGAGGUGAAAUGCGUAGAGAUCUGGAGGAAUACCGGUGGCGAAGGCGGCCCCCUGGACAAAGACUGACGCUCAGGUGCGAAAGCGUGGGGAGAAAACAGG